rnacentral:rRNA from 1 species
AGUGAACGCUGGCGGUGGGCCUAACACAUGCAAGUCGAACGGCAGCACAGUAAGAGCUUGCUCUUACGGGUGGCGAGUGGCGGACGGGUGAGGAAUACAUCGGAAUCUACUUUUUCGUGGGGGAUAACGUAGGGAAACUUACGCUAAUACCGCAUACGACCUACGGGUGAAAGCAGGGGAUCUUCGGACCUUGCGCGAUUGAAUGAGCCGAUGUCGGAUUAGCUAGUUGGCGGGGUAAAGGCCCACCAAGGCGACGAUCCGUAGCUGGUCUGAGAGGAUGAUCAGCCACACUGGAGCUGAGACACGGUCCAGACUCCUACGGGAGGCAGCAGUGGGGAAUAUUGGACAAUGGGCGCAAGCCUUAUCCAGCUAUACCGCGUGGGUGAAGAAGGCCUUCGGGUUGUAAAGCCCUUUUGUUGGGAAAGAAAAGCAGCAGGUUAAUACCCCGCUGUUCUGACGGUACCCAAAGAAUAAGCACCGGCUAACUUCGUG